rnacentral:rRNA from 1 species
GACGAACGCUGGCGGCGUGCUUAACACAUGCAAGUCGAGCGAGCUGAUUCCCUUCGGGGAUGAAGCUAGCGGCGGACGGGUGAGUAACACGUGGGCAACCUGCCUUAUAGAGGGGGAUAGCCUUCCGAAAGGAAGAUUAAUACCGCAUAACAUCAUAUUACCGCAUGGUAGACUGAUCAAAGGAGCAAUCCGCUAUAAGAUGGGCCCGCGUCGCAUUAGCUAGUUGGUGUGGUAACGGCUCACCAAGGCGACGAUGCGUAGCCGACCUGAGAGGGUGAUCGGCCACAUUGGGACUGAGACACGGCCCAGACUCCUACGGGAGGCAGCAGUGGGGAAUAUUGCACAAUGGGGGAAACCCUGAUGCAGCAACGCCGCGUGAGUGAUGAAGGCCUUCGGGUUGUAAAGCUCUUUGAUCAGGGACGAUAAUGACGGUACCUGAAGAACAAGCCACGGCUAACUACGUGCCAGCCGCCGCAGUAAGAC